UCUUACACGGAUGAGACUGAUCACACCUGAUCAGUGAAAA
rnacentral:sRNA from 1 species